GAUGAAGAACGCAGCGAAAUGCGAUAAGUAAUGUGAAUUGCAGAAUUCAGUGAAUCAUCGAAUCUUUGAACGCACAUUGCGCCCGCCAGUAUUCUGGCGGGCAUGUCUGUUCGAGCGUCAUUUCAACCAUCAAGCCCCCCGGCUUGUGUUGGGGACCUGCGGCUGCCGCAGGCCCUGAAAAGCAGUGGCGGGCUCGCUGUCACACCGAGCGUAGUAGAUCUCAUCUCGCUCAGGGCGUGCUGCGGGUUCCGGCCGUUAAACCACCUUCAUAACCCAAGGUUGACCUCGGAUCAGGUAGGAAGACCCGCUGAACUUAAGCAUAUCAAUAAGCGGAGGA
rnacentral:misc_RNA from 1 species